ensembl:snoRNA SNORD14 Small nucleolar RNA SNORD14
UCGCGAGGAUGAAGGUUCCAAAACCAUUCGUAGUUUCCACCAGAAGGUUUGAAAGACCUAUGUUGGCCAGAACACCUUCCUUGGAUGUCUGAGCGA